CAGUAGCCACGGUAAUACAGAGGAUGCAAGCGUUAUCCGGAAUGAUUGGGCGUAAAGGGCUCGCAGGCGGUUUCUUAAGUCUGAUGUGAAAGCCCCCGGCUCAACCGGGGAGGGUCAUUGGAAACUGGGAAACUUGAGUGCAGAAGAGGAGAGUGGAAUUCCACGUGUAGCGGUGAAAUGCGUAGAGAUGUGGAGGAACACCAGUGGCGAAGGCGACUCUCUGGUCUGUAACUGACGCUGAGGAGCGAAAGCGUGGGGAGCGAACAGGAUUAGAUACCCCCGUAGUCCCUGUCUCUUAUAC
rnacentral:rRNA from 1 species